UUUCUCACAUGGCACUUCAGGCAGCCCCUAAAUAAGUCAGGCACACCAAGUGAAACCUCUGUGCACCCAGCCUAAAUCUCACGAAGCAGACAGGCAUUUUCUGGGACCCUAUGACAACCCAACACUGGUGUCUCUGAGGGGACUUCAUGGGCCUGCACGGAGCUCUGAGCCUACCCUGUUUCACAGGCACAAGUGCAGGCACAUCAGAUGCACACUCUCCUCACCAUUUUAAAGAUUGCUUCCCCAGGGAGAAACAACUGAUUUCAGGCAAACCAAUGAGCCGAAAAGGCUGAAUGGAGAAAUAUUUUGCUGGGGGAACUGGUGUUGACUUUUCAUUCCAGCCACCAGGCUACUCUGAGUUUUUCAAUGUGCAGAAGGCCUUCACAGCUGGUGCCUGAAUGCCUGGCGGUAGAAGCUAUCUAUGUCUCCUUCCACCUCUUUUUGGAAACAAAUAAUUACCAUGUAUUACAACAAAGAUCACAACAGAGGUCUGUUUAGGGAUCUCUGCCUUGCUCCCAUCUGUACCUUUUGUCCCAGCACCCAGUAGACACUUACCAUAUCCUGAUGCAGAUUAGAGCUCAGCAAUGUUUGAUGAGUGUCACGUGUCAAGCCCUGGGUUAAAGGAUACUUUGUCCUACUUUGUCUGCACCACGGUGUAAGAAGAGGAGGAAGAGGAGGAAGCUUAGGAAUCCUCUCUGAAGGGGACAUGGUUCUUGGAGGCCUGAUUUGUAUUGGGGAGAAUCCUGAAACCAAUCACUGAGGGAGCACUACCCUUUAUGAUGGGGAUGGAAAAGCCACAGCAACCCUAUGGCCUCUAGUUUUGGAGAGGGACUCAGCUAAAGACCAAAGGAAGCACCAGAAAGAAGAACUGAAGAGUUUAAUUUGGUUAAACAUAAAUAAAAAUAAAAACAUCUCUAGAAUAUAGAAACUAUCUCUAGAAGUCCGGGUGUUGUGGCUCACACCUGUAAUCCCAGCAUUUUGGGAGGCUAAGGCAGGUGGAUGACCUGAGCUCAGGAAUUUGAGACCAGCCUGGGCAAUAUGGCAAAACUUCGUCUCUGCCAAAAAUACAAAAAAUUAGCCGGGUGUGGUGGUAUGCACCUGUUGUCACAGCUACUCGAGAGGCUGAAGUGGGAGAACUGCUUGAGCCUGGGAGGCAGAGGUUGUAGUGAGCCAAGAUUGCACCACUGCACUCCAACCUGGGUGAAAAAAAUAAAAGAAAAACUAUCUCUAGGGGUGGAGCUCUGGGGAAUGUUUUCUCUGUUCAAAUGUUCUACCAAGCAGAUGUAUUACAGUGGAUGUGAUUGCCUUUAAUUUGCUUGAUUUGCUGGACAUCGUUCAAAGGUCAUCCCCAGGUAUCAGUGGAUGGAUAGGAAGGAGAGUGUGUGCACUGAGGGUGUGGCUGUGGGCCCUGCAGGGGAGGCACCACAGGGAGGGGCUGGCACUCCUAUGGGCUCAGACGCUCAGGUGAGUUGCCCAUUACAUAAGGUGCAUUGCUAGGGCAUUAGCUCAGCCAGGAAGGAACCACUCUGGACUUGUG
rnacentral:lncRNA from 1 species